AUUCUAGUAGCUUAAUACCAAAGCAUUGGUCUUGUAAACCAAAGACUGAAAACUACAAUUUUCCUAGAAUA
rnacentral:tRNA from 1 species